CCUACGGGAGGCAGCAGUGAGGAAUAUUGGUCAAUGGCCGGAAGGCUGAACCAGCCAUGCCGCGUGAAGGUCAGUGCCCUAUGGGCGUUAAACUUCUUUUGUGCGGGAGCAAUAAUGGGCACGUGUGGCCAGACGAGAGUACCGUACGAAUAAGCAUCGGCUAACUCCGUGCCAGAAGCCGCGGUAAUACGGGGGAUGCAAGCGUUAUCCGGAUUUAUUGGGGUUAAAGGGGGCGUAGGCGGGGAGGUAAGUCAGCGGUGAAAUGCCGCCGCUCAACGGGGUGAAGUGCCAUUGAUACUGCCUUGCUGGAAUGCAGAUGCCGUAGGAGGAAUGUGGGGUGUAGCGGUGAAAUGCAUAGAUAUCACACAGAACACCGAUUGCGAAGGCAUCUCACGGAUCCGCGAUUGACGCUGAUGCACGAAAGCGUGGGUAUCAAACAGGAUUAGAUACCCCAGUAGUC
rnacentral:rRNA from 1 species